AUAAAGGUAAUGAGGGAAAGAGUAGUCCGUAAUACCUUAUAAGAGAGCCGGCGGUGGGUGCGAGCCGGCAGGUUUCCGGAUGAAGUACAUUCCCGUAACCGCAGGCUGAAAAUAAGUAGGCCGGGCCGUUUUCCGCGUUAAAGGAACAGGAGGGGAUUUAUUCCGGUUUUACCGGGAUGAAUCAAGUAGGGUGGUACCGCGAGAAAACUCGCCCCUUUU
rnacentral:ncRNA from 1 species